rnacentral:tmRNA from 1 species
GGGGCUGAUUCUGGAUUCGACGGGAUUUGCGAAACCCAAGGUGCAUGCCGAGGGGCGGUUGGCCUCGUAAAAAGCCGCAAAAAAUAGUCGCAAACGACGAAAACUACGCUUUAGCAGCUUAAUAACCUGCUUAGAGCCCUCUCUCCCUAGCCUCCGCUCUUAGGACGGGGAUCAAGAGACGUCAAACCCAAAAGAGAUCGCGUGGAAGCCCUGCCUGGGGUUGAAGCGUUAAAACUUAAUCAGGCUAGUUUGUUAGUGGCGUGUCCGUCCGCAGCUGGCAAGCGAAUAUAAAGACUGACUAAGCAUGUAGUACCGAGGAUGUAGGAAUUUCGGACGCGGGUUCAACUCCCGCCAGCUCCACCA